UACGAAGGAUGCAAGCGUUAUCCGGAUUUAUUGGGUUUAAAGGGUGCGUAGGCGGGCUAAUAAGUCAGUGGUGAAAGCUCACGGCUCAACCGUGAAAUUGCCAUUGAUACUGUUAGUCUUGAGUAUGGUUGAAGUUGGCGGAAUGUGCAGUGUAGCGGUGAAAUGCUUAGAUAUUGCACAGAACACCGAUUGCGAAGGCAGCUAGCUAAGCCAUAACUGACGCUGAGGCACGAAAGCAUGGGGAUCAAACAGG
rnacentral:rRNA from 1 species